rnacentral:rRNA from 1 species
GACGAACCGAGCGAACGUUGUUCGGAAUCACUGGGCUUAAAGGGCGCGUAGGCGGGUGCUCAAGUCCGGGGUGAAAUCCUCCAGCUCAACUGGAGAACUGCCUCGGAUACUGGGUGCCUCGAGGGUGGUAGGGGUAUGCGGAACUAUCGGUGGAGCGGUGAAAUGCGUAGAGAUCGGGCGGAACACCAGCGGCGAAGGCGGCAUCCUGGCCCUAUCCUGACGCUGAGGCGCGAGAGCGUGGGGAGCAAACCGG